rnacentral:rRNA from 1 species
GUAGGUGGCAAGCGUUGUCCGGAAUUAUUGGGCGUAAAGCGCGCGCAGGCGGUCCUUUAAGUCUGAUGUGAAAGCCCACGGCUCAACCGUGGAGGGUCAUUGGAAACUGGGGGACUUGAGUGCAGAAGAGAAGAGUGGAAUUCCACGUGUAGCGGUGAAAUGCGUAGAGAUGUGGAGGAACACCAGUGGCGAAGGCGACUCCUUGGUCUGUAACUGACGCUGAGGCGCGAAAGCGUGGGGGAGCAAACAGGAUUAGAUACCCUGGUAGUCCACGCCGUAAACGAUGAGUGCUAAGUGUUAGAGGGUUUCCGCCCCCUUUAGUGCUGCAGCAAACGCAUUAAGCACUCCGCCUGGGAGUACGGCCGCAAGGCUG